UACGAAGGGGGCUAGCGUUGCUCGGAAUCACUGGGCGUAAAGGGUGCGUAGGCGGGUCUUAAGUCAGGGGUGAAAUCCUGGAGCUCAACUCCAGAACUGCCUUUGAUACUGAGGAUCUUGAGUUCGGGAGAGGUGAGUGGAACUGCGAGUGUAGAGGUGAAAUUCGUAGAUAUUCGCAAGAACACCAGUGGCGAAGGCGGCUCACUGGCCCGAUACUGACGCUGAGGCACGAAAGCGUGGGGAGCAA
rnacentral:rRNA from 1 species